rnacentral:lncRNA from 1 species
AACCGAGAACAAGUUGCAGCAGUCAGAUCUGAGAAUGCAAAAUCACCGAAAUCCACUCAUGAGCCAGAUCAAGAGAUGCAAGAACCAAACUCAGAGAGCAGGGACGGGAGGGGUCCGGGAGAAACAUACCUCAGCGGCGAGGUAGACGGGGGCGCCGCUCGGCCUAGUUGCCGGCGUUGAGGAGCAUACUGCACACGGGGAACAGCAGCCCGGCCUUAAUCGGAGCUCCGAUAAUGAAAAUUAACACGGUUAAGCAUUGCGCAUGCAGAGGCUGAAUAGCAACAGAUCCAUGCCAAUCACCCUGCCAUGGAGAAGCCCUGCUGCCCCGUGCUCUCUCUCUCUCUCUCUCUCUCUCUCUCUCGUCA